AGAGUUUGAUCCUGGCUCAGGACGAACGCUGGCGGCGUGCUUAACACAUGCAAGUCGAACGGUGAUGAGGAGCUUGCUUCUCUGAUCAGUGGCGAACGGGUGAGUAACACGUGAGUAACCUGCCCCAAACUCUGGGAUAAGCACUGGAAACGGUGUCUAAUACCGGAUACGAGCUUCAGCCGCAUGGCUAGGAGUUGGAAAGAAUUUCGGUUUGGGAUGGACUCGCGGCCUAUCAGCUAGUUGGUGAGGUAAUGGCUCACCAAGGCGACGACGGGUAGCCGGCCUGAGAGGGUGACCGGCCACACUGGGACUGAGACACGGCCCAGACUCCUACGGGAGGCAGCAGUGGGGAAUAUUGCACAAUGGGCGCAAGCCUGAUGCAGCAACGCCGCGUGAGGGACGACGGCCUUCGGGUUGUAAACCUCUUUUAGUAGGGAAGAAGCGAAAGUGACGGUACCUGCAGAAAAAGCACCGGCUAACUACGUGCCAGCAGCCGCGGUAAU
rnacentral:rRNA from 1 species